CCUGAACCAGGAAGUAGCCUGUUGGCUAGUUAACAGAUGGACAAACAAAUAGAAAUACAGAUCUUUCUGUUUUCUUCAAAAGAGGUGAAUGGUGAAAUUCUCAACAAGUGUCGGAACCAUGAAUGGACCAAUACAUUUCUGAGGACAACCACUUCUAUCCCUUUCAGUGACAUGGUAACACUAUCUCAGCCAAAAGGGUCAGUAUAUAUUAAGCCAGCGGCACGAUGACUCAGCUGGUAAAGCAAUGACCUCAAACUUCUGAGGUCCUGGGUUUGAUCCCAGACCUGCCUGUGUGAAGUUUGCAUGUUCACCCUGUGCCUGUAUGGGUUUCCUCCGAGCACUCCGGUUUCCUCCCACAUCUCAAAGACAUGCAACAUUAAUUGGACUCUCUAAAUUGCCCCUAAGUGUGAUUGCGAGUGUGACUGUCGUCUGUCUUCAUGUGCUCUGCGAUUGGAAACCAGUUCAGGGUGUACCCCGCCUCCUGCCCGUUGACAAUUGGGAUUGGCUGCAGCACUCCCCGCGACCCUCGUGAGAAUAAGCGGCAAAAGAAAAUGGAUGGAUAUAUUAGGCAGUUAAGGGGACACUUUUUAAAAAUCCAGCUUUCAUCGAAAAGGUCUUACAAGAAAAUAUCUAUUUUUUCA